UCUCAUGGCGUAGUGGUUAACGCGCCCCAACUAGAGAUCGGGGAGUCGUGAGUUCGAUUCUCACAUGAGAA
rnacentral:tRNA from 1 species